GUUCUGUUCAUCCGCUCUGCUACUCCAUUUUGCUGUAGAGUGUAUGCCACCGUGAACUGUCUCUUGAUACCUUCUUGUUGAUAGAAGUUAUCAAAUUCAUCACCAGUAUAUUCUCCUCUAUUGUCAGUCCUUAGACAUUUGAUCUUCUUUUCAGAUUCAAGCUCCACAUGCGCUUUGAAUAUUUUGAAGACUACAAACACAUCUGCCUUCCUCUUGAUUGGAUACACCCAACAUCUCCUGGAGUAAUCAUCAAUAAAAAAUAUAAAGUAUCUUGCACCUCCUAGGGACAUAACAGGUGCUUGCCCAAUAUCAGAAUGGACCAGUUCUAAGAUAGCUUUACUUCCAACAAUAGAACUAUUGAACUUCAAUCUGUGCUGCUUACUAGUAAUACAAUGCUCACAAAAGGGCAAUGAAACAUUUUUUGAGCCCUAGAAGAAGCUUUUAUUUUGAGAGAAUUUCAAAUCACGUUCCGACAUGUGACCAAGUUUGCGAUGCCACAUCAUCGUUAAUUCUUCUGAUGAACUUGUCGAUGCGACAGAUGCUUCUCCUUCUUGUAGUGUUUCUUCUUUAAGCAUGUACAAAUUUGCAGCUAUCUUUUCCGCUUUCAUCACCACAAGCGCGCCUUUGAUUAUUUUUAUAAUCCCAUCUUGUGUAUGGGUUUUGCAACCAAUGCUAUCUAAUUGUCCUAAAGACGAUAGAUUUUUCUUCAAGCCAUUUACGUGCCGUACCUCCUGGAUAGAGCGAAUUGUACCAUCAUACAUUUUCAAUUUGAAGGUACCAAUACCAGUGAUCUCCAAGGCAUUAUCAUUUUCCAUAACUACAGAUCCUCCUGGGAUAGUCUCAUAUUGAUGGAACCAUUCCCUCAUUGGUAUCAUGUGCCAUGUAGCUCCUGAAUCCAUAAGCCAGACAUCAGAAAAUUUCCUUCUGCCUUCAACAAUUAUUGUUGAUUCGCUGUAUAAAAUUUCACCAUCAUCUGAGGUGCUUGCUACACAACCCUGAGCUUUUAACGUCUCAGGACCUUUUCCUUUAGCUUCUUCAUUCUUCUUGAGACUCCAACAAUCUCUUUUUAAAUGUCCUUUCUUGCCACAAUAAUGACACUUGGCAUUUUUCUUACUCCUGGAUUUUGAUCUACUCUGAUUAUGACUCCCAUUGGAGCCACAUUCCGUUGAUCUCUCUCUCAUCAUCGUUAAAGCUUCCACCUGAUGCAAACUUGUCGAUCUGUCCUCCUUGUUUUUUCGUCGACUUUCUUCUUCAAGAAUGGCAGCUGCGACAUCAUCGAAGACUAGAGUUUCAAGGUUGUUGGUUAAGUUGAUGAGUUGAUCAUACGAAUCUGACAGACUUUGAAGUAAGAUUUCAGCACGUUCACCCGCCUCUAUAUUAUGCUCCAUUGAUGUGAGCUGUGAAAAUAGAGUGUUCAGGGUGUUGAUUUGGUUGGUCACCGUAGUUGACUCCAUCAUCCGAAGGGUGUAAAGCUUCCUCUUCAAGAAGAUUUUUUUGUGUAACGAUUUGGUCUCGUAUAGCUUUGUCAGCUUAUCUCAUAUUUCUUUCGCCGUCUUUUUCUCUGCCACACUUGACAAUACUCCAUCAGCCAGUGCAAGGUGCAGAUUAACAACUGCGUUGCUAUCCAUCUCGUUCCACUUAGCAUCGUCAGUGAUCUCCACGGGCCUCUGUCCAAUUGCCGCCAAGCAUGCUUUUAU
rnacentral:lncRNA from 1 species